ACAACCUAUAGCUUCUUGUGAAGUUAUGACCAGACAACAGAUUAGCUUCUUUCGUUUUUUGCUUUGGAGGCUACCUUGAAGAAGAAGGGAAGGGAAGGGAAAAAGAAAGAGUUUCUAUCGGUUGUUCAGAAGAAAAAAAAGAGGUUUCUAUCUUUAAAGGCACAUACAACUGUCAAAGGGAGCUUUGAGCCUUUGAACCAUAUAUAAUGUAAUGAAUGUACAUGUGUUCACAUGAGCUCUGAAAAAUUCUGCUUGGCACAUGAAGAGGAAUAUGGUUCAUCUCUUAAGAUGAAAGUUAUGCACAUGAGAGCAUAAGGCUUACUUAUUAUACAAAAAAAAAGGAAAGUAAAUGAUUUUGAAGUUCUAAAAAUUUUGGUUAUACUUUGGAUAUAUUAUAUGCAAUGUUAUGUUCACUUUGUA